rnacentral:rRNA from 1 species
CCUACGGGAGGCAGCAGUGAGGAAUAUUGGUCAAUGGGCGCGAGCCUGAACCAGCCAAGUAGCGUGAAGGAUGACUGCCCUACGGGUUGUAAACUUCUUUUAUAAAGGAAUAAAGUGAGGCACGUGUGCCUUUUUGUAUGUACCUUAUGUAUAAGGAUCGGCUAACUCCGUGCCAGCAGCCGCGGUAAUACGGAGGGUCCGAGCGUUAUCCGGAAUUAUUGGGUUUAAAGGGAGCGUAGAUGGGUUGUUAAGUCAGUUGUGAAAGUUUGCGGCUCAACCGUAAAAUUGCAUUUGAUACUGGCAGCCUGGAGUACAGUUGAGGUAGGCGGAAUUCGUGGUGUAGCGGUGAAAUGCUUAGAUAUCACGAAGAACUCCGAUUGCGAAGGCAGCCUACUAGACUGCAACUGACAUUGAUGCUCGAAAGUGUGGGUAUCAAACAGGAUUAGAUACCCUGGUAGUC